rnacentral:rRNA from 1 species
ACGAAGGGGGCUAGCGUUGCUCGGAAUUACUGGGCGUAAAGGGAGCGUAGGCGGCGUGGUAAGUCAGAUGUGAAAUCCCGGGGCUCAACCCCGGAACUGCAUCCGAUACUGCCAUGCUUGAGGGUUGGAGAGGUAGCUGGAAUUCUCGGUGUAGCAGUGAAAUGCGUGGAUAUCGAGAGGAACACUCGUGGCGAAGGCGAGCUACUGGACAGCAUCUGACGCUGAGGCUCGAAGGCUAGGGGAGCAAAAGGGA